UUUAUGUUAACUUAAGUAAAUUGGGUGUGUACGCUGCGUCUUAUAUCUUCCCAAAGGACAAACCUUCUACAGAAAUUCAAGAGACCGUGUUCUUAUAAAGUUGUAAAUUGACAUAUAUUUUUUUCUCAAUUUCUCCAAUUAAGAUCAGAACCAUAUUAAAUGUCAGGUUUAUUUGUUGGAAUUCUGUGUAUUACACAAAGGGGUUUUCAGCUCCGAUCAUUCGAUUCACUUUCCUCUUCUGCUUCUUCCCAGAAAGAACAAAGAAUUAGUGUAGGAAGCCAUGGAUACAAGAAUGAGGAGCUAGGUGAAAAAGCUAGAGAAGCCAAGCAAAGAUUGGAUCACAAGCUAAGAAGGAUUUGAUAAGCAUCUUGUUUUGAGCUUGCCUUGGGAAGUUAUCCAAUGACGGAAGGUGGGAUAAUGUGAAAAAUGAGGAUUUUGGUGGAGGUUUCCACUAGGAAGAUGCAGAAAUCUACACUGAAAAGGGGAGUGUGAAUCUUCUUGCACCAAGCAGUGAUCUUGCCUUUUUCUUGGCUUUUGCUGUGCAAUUCUUGUAGUUGUAUCUGCUGAAAGUUUAAACGACCAAGUUUGUUCAUUGCUUAGAAGGCAGCCCGGUGUACUAAGCUCCCGCUAUGUCCGGAGUUCGGGGAAUGGCCGGAUCACAAGGGUCUAUUGUCCGCAACCUUACCCUGCAUUUCUGUAAGAGGUUGUUUUCACGGCUUGAACCCGUGACUUCCUGAUCACAUGGCAGCAAUUUUACCGGUAACGUCUAGGCUCCUCUUCUAUGAUAUGGAUAGAAGGAGUUGACACUAUUAGCUGAUUUUAAAUUCUUUUCUCAAUCACUUUUAGUAAUGGUAGGUUAACUAUAAGCUUAUUUUUCCAGCAGUUGCUAUAAAUGAGCCUUCUGUCUUGCCUAUACUUGGGUCUUAAUGAAAAUGAUUAAUAUUCUUAUUAUACUACAAAUACAUAUUCUCCUUUACUAGAGGGUAAUUUGCAUUGUUGGUAUGGUGCAACUAUUGUUAAUAACCCAAUCGUAUGACAAAAUGAAGGGGGGAAAUUACAUUACCGUAAUCAUAUGUAUUUUUCGAGAAAAUUUCAUCGUUUGUCUCUUUUUGUGUCAGUUAUUUAGCGAAUGGCCUCCUUUUUAUUUCUCUUGCAACUAAUGGACCUUAUAAAAUGAGAAAACAUUAGAUCAGUCUAAAAUUUUUUUAGUUAUUGCAAACUUACACCAUAGUCUAAUGUUUUAUAAGUAAACUGAAAUAUGAACAAAUUAGACAUAUGUUUAAUGUUUUCCAGAAGGGAGAAUUUUUCAAGGGUUAUAUUUGUACCGACUUUUAAAAUAUGGACAAAAUCUAAACACUGACAUAAAAAGAGACAUUUGCAUAAGGAAAUUUUAUACCCUAUAGAAAAGCUUAGUACCUUAUUUAUUUUAAAUAAAUACCAUUUAAAAAAAAUAUAUUAUAUAGCUACCUUUUAUCUUUUAUAGCAAAAUAUCUAAUUAUAGUUAUAUCCUACACUUAAGGCGCCAUAUACGCUAAUUAAUAUUUUUCUCUCUUCUUUUUCAGAUUUUCUCUCACAUAAUCACGGUAAAUUUCACAAACCACGUUCUCUCUCUUUUUGCAUACACUUUAUUCUCUUCUCCCACAAAACUAUGAUUGUUGCCUCUGUUCGUUGCCUCUGUUCGUUGCCCUAGUGGUUAUAGCAGAGAUUUCUUUUCUGGUUCGACUCGACGUGGCUGAAAAAGCCAAUUUCUGGUUCGUUGCCCUAAUGUGAAAAUCUUGGAUUUUUUUUUUUGGUUCUCUAAAAUGGGUAUGCAGGUAGCUACUGGAAAGUAAGAAAAUCUGAACUUGGAUUGGUUAUUCUUGGAUAAAUAUAGAUAAAGAGAGUUUGAUCCAAGAUUUUGAUCAUGGCUUCGUACCUGGGUAUUCUUGGAUAAAUACAGAUGAAAAUCUGAACUUGGAUUGGUGAGUUUGAUCAUGGCUUCGUACCUGGGAGUUGCGAGGAGUGGUACAAAAGCUACGAUGGUAUUGGUGUGUCAAAAGCAAUGUACAGGAUGCGUGGGAAUAGUGAGAUUCAGGGUUUUUGCUCGACAGCAGAUUCGUCGGAAAUUAGGGUCUGUUCUUGAACAAAGACGACGGAUUUUGGAGCUGAGCAACUUGUUUUUCUGUUAAUAUAUUUCAAUGUAUUUUCAACGUAUCAUGUUGUAUUUU